UACAGAGGGUGCAAGCGUUAAUCGGAAUUACUGGGCGUAAAGCGUGCGUAGACGGUUAUGUAAGUCGGGUGUGAAAGCCCCGGGCUCAACCUGGGAAUUGCAUUCGAGACUGCAUAGCUAGGGUGCGGAAGAGGGAAGCGGAAUUUCCGGUGUAGCGGUGAAAUGCGUAGAUAUCGGGAGGAACACCUGUGGCGAAGGCGGCCCCCUGGUUGGAUACUGACGCUGAUACGCGAAAGCGUGGGGAGCAAACAGG
rnacentral:rRNA from 1 species